GUGCUCACUUCGGCAGCACGUAUACUAAAAAUUGGAACGAUACAGAGAAGAUUAGCAUUGCCGCUGCGCAAGAAUGAUACGCAAAAAAAAGAGAGAUUGUUGAAGUAG